rnacentral:snoRNA from 1 species
AGUUCAUGAUGAGGGACUUUCCUCAAUAACUCCUUGUAACGCUCCCAUGAUUCAUACAAUGACUCUCCGUCCUACUAAUAAAAGGUGGUGAUAUCAUUCCUCAUCUU